rnacentral:rRNA from 1 species
CAAUAGCGUAUAUUAAAGUUGUUGCAGUUAAAAAGCUCGUAGUUGAACUUGUGCGUGCCCCUGAUGUCCUUUUUGGUACGUUUGGGGGUGUGCAUCCUUGGGUGGAAUCUAUGUGGCAUUAGGUUGUCGUGCAGGGGAUGCUCAUCGUUUACUGUGAAAAAAUUAGAGUGUUCAAAGCAGGCUUAUGCCGUUGAAUAUAUUAGCAUGGAAUAAUAAGAUAGGACCUCGGUACUAUUUUGUUGGUUUGCGCACUGAGGUAAUGAUUAACAGGGACAGUUGGGGGUAUUCGUAUUCCAUUGUCAGAGGUGAAAUUCUUGGAUUUCUGGAAGACGAACUACUGCGAAAGCAUUUACCAAGGAUGUUUUCAUUAA